rnacentral:rRNA from 1 species
ACGAACGCUGGCGGCGUGCUUAACACCUGCAAGUCGCACGGAAAGGCCCUGCUUUUGUGGGGUGCUCGAGUGGCGAACGGGUGAGUAACACGUGAGUAACCUGCCCUUGACUUUGGGAUAACUUCAGGAAACUGGGGCUAAUACCGGAUAGGAGCUCCUGCUGCAUGGUGGGGGUUGGAAAGUUUCGGCGGUUGGGGAUGGACUCGCGGCUUAUCAGCUUGUUGGUGGGGUAGUGGCUUACCAAGGCUUUGACGGGUAGCCGGCCUGAGAGGGUGACCGGCCACAUUGGGACUGAGAUACGGCCCAGACUCCUACGGGAGGCAGCAGUGGGGAAUAUUGCACAAUGGGCGGAAGCCUGAUGCAGCAACGCCGCGUGCGGGAUGACGGCCUUCGGGUUGUAAACCGCUUUCGCGUGUGACGAAGCGUGAGUGACGGUAAUGGGUAAAGAAGCACCGGCUAACUACGUG